UGACCCAAACAAAGGUAGUCAAAGAAAUAAAGUAUAUAAGCAUUAAAAAGAAAUUGUUCCUCUCCAAUGUGGGACUAAAACAAGAUAAAACUUUUAGAGAACUUUGGAGGGAAGAAAAAUUUUGAAUUUUUUAUCCUAAAUUUUAGCAAACUAAACCUAGCUCAACUCAGUUAUUUGACCCAACCUGAAUAAAUGAAUGAUCAUAGGGU
rnacentral:lncRNA from 1 species